UCAGCUCGUGUUGUGAAAUGUUGGGUUAAGUCCCGCAACGAGCGCAACCCUUAUCCUUUGUUGCCAGCGGUCCGGCCGGGAACUCAAAGGAGACUGCCAGUGAUAAACUGGAGGAAGGUGGGGAUGACGUCAAGUCAUCAUGGCCCUUACGACCAGGGCUACACACGUGCUACAAUGGCGCAUACAAAGAGAAGCGACCUCGCGAGAGCAAGCGGACCUCAUAAAGUGCGUCGUAGUCCGGAUUGGAGUCUGCAACUCGACUCCAUGAAGUCGGAAUCGCUAGUAAUCGUGGAUCAGAAUGCCACGGUGAAUACGUUCCCGGGCCUUGUACACACCGCCCGUCACACCAUGG
rnacentral:rRNA from 1 species